CGAAGGAUGCAAGCGUUAUCCGGAUUCAUUGGGUUUAAAGGGAGCGUAGGUGGCCUUAUAAGUCAGUGGUGAAAUCUCUGGGCUUAACCCAGAAAUUGCCAUUGAUACUGUAGGGCUUGAGUAUAGUUGCCGUUGGCGGAAUAUGACAUGUAGUGGUGAAAUACAUAGAGAUGUCAUAGAACACCGAUUGCGAAGGCAGCUGACGAAACUAUAACUGACACUGAGGCUCGAGAGUGCGGGGAUCAAACAGGAUUAGAUACCCUGGUAGUCCGCACUGUAAACGAUGAUUACUCGCUGCUAGAGGGCAACUUUUAGUGGCUUAGCGAAAGCGAUAAGUAAUCCACCUGGGGAGUACGCCGGCAACGGUG
rnacentral:rRNA from 1 species